UGGGGAAUUUUGGACAAUGGGCGAAAGCCUGAUCCAGCCAUGCCGCGUGAGUGAAGAAGGCCUUCGGGUUGUAAAGCUCUUUCAGGCGGAAAGAAAGAGUUGCAAUGAAUAAUUGUGAUUUAUGACGGUACCGACAGAAAAAGCACCGGCUAACUACGUGCCAGCAGCCGCGGUAAUACGUAGGGUGCGAGCGUUAAUCGGAAUUACUGGGCGUAAAGGGUGCGCAGGCGGUCUUGCAAGUCAGAUGUGAAAGCCCCGGGCUUAACCUGGGCAUUGCGUUUGAAACUACAAGGCUAGAGUGCAGCGGAGGGGAGUGGAAUUCCAUGUGUAGCAGUGAAAUGCGUAGAGAUGUGGAAGAACACCGAUGGCGAAGGCAGCUCCCUGGAUUGACACUGACGCUCAUGCACGAAAGCGUGGGGAGCAAACA
rnacentral:rRNA from 1 species